GACGAACGCUGGCGGCAUGCCUAACACAUGCAAGUCGAACGGAACCGCCGCUUUCGGUGGCUACCCGAUUGGCGAACGGGUGAGUAACACGUGAGUAACCUGCCCUUGAGUUGGGGAUAACUUCUGGUAACGGGGGAUGAUGCCGGAUCGAAGCUCCUGCUGCCUGGUGUGGGUUGGAGAGUUUCUGCGGUGGUGGAUGGGUUUGCGGCUAAUCAGCUUGUUGGUGUGGGAGUGGCUGACCAAGGCUUUGGCGGGUAGCCGGCGUGGGAGGGUGACGGGCCACAUUGAGACUGGGACAGGGCCCAGACCCCUACGGGAGGGAGCAGUGGGGAAGAGUGCACAAUGGGUGGAAGCCAGAUGCAGAUCCGCCGUGGGCGGGAGGACGGCCUUGGGGUUGGAAUUCGAUUGCGCUCAUGACGGAGCUGAGUGUGACGGUAGUGGGUAAAGAAGCACCGGCUAACUACGUG
rnacentral:rRNA from 1 species